rnacentral:sRNA from 1 species
GGUGGGGAUAGGGCGACGGCCUGACAAGCCCGGAACUCCGACCGGGUUUCUCCACCGACCACUUCGGAGG